rnacentral:rRNA from 1 species
UAGGGAAUCUUCGGCAAUGGGACGAAAGUCUGACCGAGCAACGCCGCGUGAGUGAAGAAGGUUUUCGGAUCGUAAAACUCUGUUGGUAGAGAAGAAUGUUGGUGAGAGUGGAAAGCUCAUCAAGUGACGGUAACUACCCAGAAAGGGACGGCUAACUACGUGCCAC